ensembl:snoRNA
UUCCUUUUGUGAUUCAUAAAUGUGUUGACUGAGUUUUCACAUCAUUAUGUCACAUAUGCCUUCCUCAGAUCUUGUUACUUUUUGGCCUAUUACUCACCUGAUA